GUCCCCAUCGUCUAGUGGUCAGGACAUCGCCCUUUCAAGGCGGCGACACGGGUUCGAGUCCCGUUGGGGGCACCA
rnacentral:tRNA from 1 species